rnacentral:tmRNA from 1 species
GGGGGCGUACUGGUUUCGACGGGGAUCGUCGGGGGCUUGGGAAGCGAGCCGCGGACCCGGACCGCGUAAAAACUGGGAACUUUUAAAAUGAACUGACGAAAAUAAUUUCGCUCUCGCGGCCUAAGGCUGCGCGUCGGACACAAGCGCCUACUGCUUGCCCACCCGGCGUCAUUGAAGUAGGGAACGGGCGCGCCUAAGCUUUGCGGCGCGCCGGCACCAUGAAGCUACCGGACCCGUAAGCCCGUCCGUGGGCGUGCGGGGAAGGGAAUUUUAAAACGCGGACUGCGCUCGGAGAAACCUGGGUUUUCGGAUUUUCGGACAGGGGUUCGAUUCCCCUCGCCUCCAU